rnacentral:rRNA from 1 species
GAUGAACGCUGGCGGCGUGCCUAAUACAUGCAAGUCGAGCGAACAGACGAGGAGCUUGCUCCUCUGACGUUAGCGGCGGACGGGUGAGUAACACGUGGAUAACCUACCUAUAAGACUGGGAUAACUUCGGGAAACCGGAGCUAAUACCGGAUAAUAUAUUGACCCGCAUGGUUCAAUAGUGAAAGACGGUUUUGCUGUCACUUCUAGAUGGAUCCGCGCCUCAUUAGCUAGUUGGUAAGGUAACGGCUUACCAAGGCAACGAUGCGUAGCCGACCUGCGAGGGUGAUCGGCCACACUGGAACUGAGACACGGUCCAGACUCCUACGGGAGGCAGCAGUAGGGAAUCUUCCGCAAUGGGCGAAAGCCUGACGGAGCAACGCCGCGUGAGUGAUGAAGGUCUUCGGAUCGUAAAACUCUGUUAUUAGGGAAGAACAAAUGUGUAAGUAACUAUGCACGUCUUGACGGUACCUAAUCAGAAAGCCACGGCUAACUACGUG